rnacentral:rRNA from 1 species
UAGGGAAUCUUCCGCAAUGGGCGAAAGCUUGACGGAGCAACGCCGCGUGAGUAAUGAAGGUCUUCGGAUCGUAAAACUCUGUUAUUAGGGAAGAACAAAUGUGUAAGUAACUAUGCACGUCUUGACGGUACCUAAUCAGAAAGCCACGGCUAACUACGUGCCAGCAGCCGCGGUAAUACGUAGGUGGCAAGCGUUAUCCGCAAUUAUUGGGCGUAAAGCGCGCGUAGGCGGUUUUUUAAGUCUGAUGUGAAAGCCCACGGCUCAACCGUGGAGGGUCAUUGGAAACUGGAAAACUUGAGUGCAGAAGAGGAAAGUGGAAUUCCAUGUGUAGCGGUGAAAUGCGCAGAGAUAUGGAGGAACACCAGUGGCGAAGGCGACUUUCUGGUCUGUAACUGACGCUGAUGUGCGAAAGCGUGGGGAUCAAACAGG